rnacentral:rRNA from 1 species
UUCCAGACUCCCUACGGGAGGCAGCAGUAGGGAAUCUUCGGCAAUGGACGAAAGUCUGACCGAGCAACGCCGCGUGAGUGAAGAAGGUUUUCGGAUCGUAAAACUCUGUUGGUAGAGAAGAACGUUGGUGAGAGUGGAAAGCUCAUCAAGUGACGGUAACUACCCAGAAAGGGACGGCUAACUACGUGCCAGCGGCCGCGGUAAUACGUAGGUCCCGAGCGUUGUCCGGAUUUAUUGGGCGUAAAGCGAGCGCAGGUGGUUUAUUAAGUCUGGUGUAAAAGGCAGUGGCUCAACCAUUGUAUGCAUUGGAAACUGGUAGACUUGAGUGCAGGAGAGGAGAGUGGAAUUCCAUGUGUAGCGGUGAAAUGCGUAGAUAUAUGGAGGAACACCGGUGGCGAAAGCGGCCCUCUGGCCUGUAACUGACACUGAGGCUCGAAAGCGUGGGGAGCAAACAGGAUUAGAUACCCUGGUGGUCCACGCCGUAAACGAUGAGUGCUAGAUGUAGGGAGCUAUAAGUUCUCUGUAUCGCAGCUAACGCAAUAAGCACUCCGCCUGGGGAGUACGACCGCAAGGUUGAAACUCAAAGGAAUUGACGGGGGCCCGCACAAG